rnacentral:rRNA from 1 species
GAUGAACGCUGGCGGCGUGCCUAUACAUGCAAGUCGAGCGGACAGAAGGGAGCUUGCUCCCGGAUGUUAGCGGCGGACGGGUGAGUAACACGUGGGUAACCUGCCUGUAAGACUGGGAUAACUCCGGGAAACCGGAGCUAAUACCGGAUAGUUCCUUGAACCGCAUGGUUCAAGGAUGAAAGACGGUUUCGGCUGUCACUUACAGAUGGACCCGCGGCGCAUUAGCUAGUUGGUGGGGUAAUGGCUCACCAAGGCGACGAUGCGUAGCCGACCUGAGAGGGUGAUCGGCCACACUGGGACUGAGACACGGCCCAGACUCCUACGGGAGGCAGCAGUAGGGAAUCUUCCGCAAUGGACGAAAGUCUGACGAAGCAACGCCGCGUGAGUGAUGAAGGUUUUCGGAUCGUAAAGCUCUGUUGUUAGGGAAGAACAAGUGCGAGAGUAACUGCUCGCACCAUGACGGUACCUAACCAGAAAGCCACGGCUAACUACGUGCCAGCCGCCGCCGUAA